AUUUUAACUUUGCAUUUGCCAUUCCUAAUGGACUCCUUUCCCAGCUGCCAUUCUUUUUGUCUUCUACUACAGGGUGAUCUUGGUGCCAUUCCUGGGGCAGAGAUGCCCUGGGUGGUGGGCCACACUUUGGGUAUCACACUGUCAGAGUGUGUUAUUACCUCCUAUUUCAACACCUGUAAAACCAGCACCUCAGGUGGAUGAGUCAGAGGUGCCACAUGCCUUCUAUUCAGAGAGCUACUAUGUCUACACCGCAGGUUUCUUCUUGGGAUCUGAAGCAUGGAAAAGCAUUCCUUGCCAAAAGCAAUAGAGUGGAAAUUUGUGAGCCAUCCGAUCUCAUCUCAAUACUAUUGUCUGUUGGCUGGCUGGGCAGCACUGGCCAAGGUGCCUCAUCAGCCUGUGCCUUCCCUUGCCCAUCUGUGAAGCAGAGAGAAUAAUGCCAGCUUAGUUCAGGAGAACUUAGCAGAGAGAAGAGCGGAAAUCAUGUUUGCGGAGCAAGUGGUAAAUACAAAGUGUUAUCUGAACGCUGACUAAUAAGAAUGUUGGCCAACUUCCUGGUCUGUGAAAUAGGGUUAAUGAUACUCUGCCCCAUCAAAGCUCCAGGGGGUUGUGAGCCUUAAUGAAUACUUGCAGAGCAGCUGAAGACUGCCAAAUAAGAGGUUCUGCAAAAUCGUCUACUAGCGCUAUUAUUAAUGCUAACUUAUUUUGAACAGGAAAGAAACUAACCUUUUCAUCAUCCACUUAGCAACAAAUGGAGGACUCCCCCUAGUUUGUCCAUGCUGGGAAUUUGCUCUCUUCUAAAGACAUCCUUAGCCAGGCUUCUCCUGGUAGUUUUCAGCUAUCAACUCCAAAUGGAAUCCAGCUGACUCCAUUUGCUGCCAUUUUCCAGGAGGUAAGGAACGAAGACUGGAGGAUCACUUGUCAGCAAUGCUGUAAAAGGGAUUCGUGGUCAGGAAUGAUGGAUCGAACUAGAAGUUCUCUGAGAUCCUUUCUGGCUCUGAGAUUUGGUGACCCCAUAAUUCUGUGAAUUAUGAACUUGAACAACAUAAAGUUCAAGUAUAUUGAAGGCAAAAAGAUCCCAAGAACUUGUUAAAGAAAAAAAAGGACAUUGGCUUGGGAACCUGGGGGAGGGGGAAGGAGGAUGAAAGGGCUUGGGUCCUUGUCUCCCGGUGCCCCUGUCAAACCCUGACCAAAUCACAUAGUGACUUGGAUCUUAAUUAGAGACAA
rnacentral:lncRNA from 1 species